GCCUCAGACAUGCAAGUCGAACGCGAAAUUUCCCCGCAAGGGGAGAAAGUAGAGUGGCGUCCGGGCGAGUAACACGUAGGUAAUCUACCUUUGGGUGGGGAAUAACAACCGGAAACGGUUGCUAAUACCGCAUAAUGCAGCGGCACCGCAUGGUGACAGUUGUUAAAGCGGGGGAUCGCAAGACCUCGCGCCUGAAGAGGAGCCUGCGGCGGAUUAGCUAGUUGGUAAGGUAACGGCUUACCAAGGCAACGAUCCGUAGCCGGCCUGAGAGGGCGGUCGGCCACACUGACACUGACAUACGGGUCAGACUCCUACGGGAGGCAGCAGUCGGGAAUUUUGGGCAAUGGGCGAAAGCCUGACCCAGCAACGCCGCGUGAAGGAUGAAAUCCCUCGGGAUGUAAACUUCGCAAGAACGGGAAGAAUAAGUAGGGGACAAUACCCCCUAUGAUGACGGUACCGUUUGUAAGCUCCGGCUAACUCCGUGCCAGCAGCCGCGGUAAUACGGGGGGAGCAAGCGUUGUUCGGAUUUACUGGGCGUAAAGGGCGCGUAGGCGGCCUGUGCAAGUCAGUUGUGAAAUCUCCGAGCUUAACUCGGAAAGGUCAACUGAUACUGCUCGGCUAGAGUGCGGAAGGGGCAACUGGAAUUCUUGGUGUAGCGGUGAAAUGCGUAGAUAUCAAGAGGAACACCUGCGGCGAAGGCGGGUUGCUGGGCCGACACUGACGCUGAGGCGCGAAAGCUA
rnacentral:rRNA from 1 species